GGUCUACGCAGAACUAGACAAAUCAACCUGAUGGGAAUUGUUAUGCAAAUGGUCUUCUCUUGCCACACAGUCAGUUCCUCUUUGAUUUCGACUUACAAGAAAAUGCCGUUGCUAGUUAUGGGAAAUAUUUUUACUUCCCUGCGCUAAGCACAUCCGUGAGGUCACCAAAUGAUUCUUUAGAACUAGAACCAAGCUGAAAUGUGACAUUAACUCACCAGCUGUCAGAGAUCAUGGGAGACAUUCUAUUUCUACUGAUUGUGGGUCGGUCAAUUUUCUGCUUUUUAUUUGACCAACACAUCGAGUCUGUUUAAAAGAUUUAACAUAUGCAUGUGUGCAGUUCAACUUUUCGUUAUGUCUUCAUUUAGCGCUACUCAAGGACCAAGGAGCAAGAGUUACUAGAUGUGCGAAUGGCUUUACUCAACCGUAUUCCAAUCCAGGGUUUCUGAAUUGUAUUGGUAAUGAUGGAGAAUAUGGUUAUAAUUACAUGCGUAGUAUUUUGCUUUAGGAAUGUGCUUUAAUCAGUAAUGUUGACCUCUGAUAAUCUCCAGCAUUAAACAGACCCUGUUUGGGAACAUUCAACACUAUAUCCUUUACAGCCCCGGGGUUGUACACUGGGAAAUGCCAAACGUCCUGCACGGUGUUGGGCUGUAAGCACAACCCCCACCUGUGGAAGUCGGGCCCUCAUACCACCCUCAUGGAGUCUGUUUCUGACCGUUUGAGCAGACACAUGCACAUUUGUGGCCUGCUGGAGGUCAUUUUGCAGGGCGCUGGCAGUGCACAUCCUUGCACAAAGGCGGAGGUAGCGGUCCUGCUGCUGGGUUGUUGCCCUCCUACGGCUUCCUCCACGUCUCCUGAUGUAUUGGCCUGUCUCCUGGUAGCGCCUCCAUGCUCUGGACACUACGCUGACAGACACAGCAAACCUUUUUGCCACACCUCUGAGCAUGCGCUGAACACAUAUUUACCAUUUACUGACCACCUCGCAGGUACCUUUAUUGAACACGAUGGAAGACAGAGAGCUGGUUUCAAGCGCAGAGCGCAGCAGGUGUUUCCUUGUAAGGGACCACAGGAAGAGGCAGGUAGCUGGGUCCAGUGGCAGGCAGAAGGUCUUACACAACAAAUCCAAAAAGGCAACCGUACAGGCAGGGAAAAGACUAGUAACGUCCGGGAGAUCAGGCAAUAGGUUGAUAAGAGGAAAUCCGAUAGGCUAAAGUACAGGCAGGGAAUAGGCAAAAGGCAUCGUUAGUUUUUUCCUGCCUCACUAUCAUACACAGGAGGAUUAAAUUACAGAUGGAAAAAACAGAGCUCCCAAUAGAAGUGUAUCACAAAACAAACAACACCUCACAAUGAUGAGGUGCAGAGAACUGAACUAAAUAGUGUGUGACAAUGAUAUACAGGUGAUCAGAAUUCAGGUGAUUGGGAUCUGGAGAGUGAGCUGCUAUCAGGGGAUCUACGUGUUUGGGAGUGUGAGUUGGAAGCAGACGUUACAGUACCACAGGAAGACCACAAUCUGACACCACCUGACACCACCUGGGAGACGGUGGUCGGAGAUGACCAGAAUUACCCAGGGUUUGCGUUUGUUGUUCUGCUCAGCUAUAAGAAUCUGGAUAGUCUGAAGGACAACACUUCUCAUCAGAGCCAGCAGCUCAUGUCAAGUGCUGCGACGGUGUCCGUUAGCAACUCCAACACAGCAAACCUGCCCCAACCGGUUAAUCUCACUUUCAAUCACCUGCAGUCCAGUGAUGUUGACCCCACCUGUGUUUAUUGGUCGGAUGAGAAUGGACCGGGGGUGUGGUCUGGGCGGGGUUGCACCUCAGUGAUGUCAAACUCCAACCAAACAGUGUGCUCCUGCAAACAUCUCAGCACAUUCGCUCUGCUGAAGGGAAUCCAUCAGGAAAAGGGAAGCGAGCAGCUGUCGUUGGUGAUGUGGGUGGUGUUUUUGUGGCACUGACCUGUGUGGUCCUGUCCCUGAUCACAACCCUGUGGUGUCGCCAUGUCAGCCGCAAACGUCGUGGAGGACACCGGCGGCAACAGGAUGUACAGCUACAUAGAAAAUAAGACAUAGAUUUGAAAUAUUUGUGUUCUAAGAAAAGCUUUACUUGGAAUCAAUUUGUCACAUUGCCUCUUGGCUUGCAAGGACAUCCAAAUGGCAGCAUUUUGUAUUUAGUAAAGUAUUAUAAAAAUGUAUUAAACAAACAAAAAUAUAAGAACAGAACUUUAUGUUAAUAGAUCUACAAUAUCUCUUGUAUAGAACUCUUAUCAGUUCUGGAGUGUAACAGAAGAGGUCUGAUCUCUAUGGCAACAUAGUUAAGUCAUUUUAGUCUCAUAAACGUGGUCUGUAAUUAGUAGAGAUGAGAAUAGUGGUAUAUCCACUCAACGCUGCAUUUGUCCAGUAUUAUGCCACUUGGCUGUUGUUGUAACUGAGUUAUUUUAAGUGAAAGUAAUAUUUUUUCUGUUUAUUUUACAGUGCUUGA